CCUCCACCCCCUCCCCUGCUCUGGCCGCGGCCCCUUCCUCCUGCAGCGGGUGCCGUGGGGCCGCGGGGCCGCGCGUCACCGUCUCUAUGGCCAGGGCUCGGAGCGCAAAGAAAACAGACCGAGGAACUAGGACAAACUCCGCUGUGAGGGCCAGGUGACCUCAACAGUCACCUACAGCCCGACCUGUGACCCGGCUCCCUCUCAGCAUGGAGCCUGGACUGGACGCAGCGCGGCUCCGUGGGGCUCAUCCCGUGCUCUGAUCGCCUCCCUGGAGUUCCAUGGCCACACUAACAUAUGAGUCCUUGUCCCCCAAGUUCCAGGACCCUCCCUGGACUCGUGUCCCACUGACCUCCUGAGUAACCUCCCUGGACCUUGACCCCUGUGACUCUUUUUCCCCCCGUCUGACCCUUCCACCAGCUCCCCGUGGGAUUCCUGUGGGUCUGGGCCUCCACAGGAAGAUGUUGGGGAGGCUCUGGCCCUUCUUUCUGAGCUUCCUCACAGCCGCUGCAGUUCCAGGGCCCUCGCUGCGGAGAACUUCCAGGGACCUUGAUGUUACCCCACGCAUGACUAUCUCCUAUGAAGAGAUCUCCGGAAUUCCAUGUUUCAAGGGCCCAGCCCGGAACUACUCCACCCUCCUGCUGGACGAGGGUCCCGCGCGGCUGCUGGUCGGAGCCCGAGGGGCCCUGUUCUCUCUCAAUGCCCAGAAUAUCGGAGAUGGGACGCACAAAGAGAUCCUCUGGGAGGUCUCCGCAGAGAAGCAAAACCAAUGUCAUCAAAAAGGGAAAAACAACCAGACCGAGUGCUUCAACCACGUGCGUCUCCUUCAGCGGCUCAAUGAUACCCACCUCUAUGUAUGCGGGACUCAUGCCUUCCAGCCCACCUGUGCCGUCAUUGAUGCGGAGGCCUUCACCUUGCCAGACCACUUUGAGGAGGGGAGGGAGAUAUGUCCUUAUGACCCGGCCCACGGCUUCACAGCCCUCCUCAUCGAUGGAAGCCUCUACACAGCCACCCGGUAUGAAUUCCGGGGCAACCCUGACAUCCGCCGGAGCCACCACCAGUACACCCUGAAAACGGAGGCGGCGCCGAUACACUGGCUCAAUGAUGCUGAGUUUGUGUUCUCCGUCCUGGUCCUGAAGAACAAAAACAGUGCGGAGGGUGACGACGACGACAAAGUUUACUACUUCUUCAUGGAGCGUGCCAUGGACGAAGGUUACGUCAACUUUCCUCAGAGUCGCAGCAACCAACGCGUAAACCGUGUGGCCCGGGUGGCCCGUGUGUGCAAGGGAGACCUGGGAGGGAAUAAGAUUCUGCAGAAGAAGUGGACCUCCUUCUUGAAGGCGCGUCUCAUCUGCCACAUUCCACAGUAUGAGACGCUGCGCAGCGUCUGCAGCCUGGAUGCUGAUACUGCAGCCAGCACGCGCUUCUAUGCAGCCUUCACGCUCAUCACGCAGUGGAAGACCCUGGAGGCCUCCGUGAUUUGCCGCUAUGACCUGGCUGACCUGCAGGCUGUUUUCGCAGGCCCCUACCUGGAGUACCAGGAUGGUGCUCGGCGCUGGGGCCUCUUUGAGGGUCAAGUGCCAGAGCCCCGGCCUGGCUCGUGCAUCACAGAUUCACUGCGCAGCCAAGGCUACAACUCAUCGCAGGAUUUGCCGACCACGGUCCUGGACUUUGUCAGGCAGCACCCAGUGAUGGCGCGGCCGGUGCCACCCACACGCGGACGGCCCCUCCUGCUCAAGCGCAAUGUGCGUUACACACACCUCACAGGGACACCUGUCACCACGCCUGCAGGACCCACCUAUGACCUGCUCUUCCUAAGCACAGCUGACGGCUGGAUCCACAAGGCCGUGGUUCUGAGCUCUGGGGUGCACAUUAUUGAAGAGACACAAGUCUUCAAGAAGGCCCAGUCUGUGGAGAAUCUGCUUGUCUCUCCGAUGCAGCACAGCCUCUACGUGGGGGGCUCUAGUGAAGUCAUGCAGCUACCAUUAUCCUUCUGUUCCCGCUACCACUCCUGCUAUGACUGCAUUCUGGCCCGGGACCCCUACUGUGGCUGGGACCCCAGUGCCCGUGCCUGCAAAGCCACCACCGGACCCAAUAACACCCAAACUAGCAGGACAGAACUGAUACAGGAUAUAGAGCGAGGAAACCGAGGCUGUGAGGGCCACAAGGACACAGAGCCGCCACCACCACUGAAGCUCCGCUCUGUGCUCCGAGGUGAUGACGUCCUCCUGCCCUGUGACCAACCAUCCAACUUGGCCCGGGCCUUGUGGCUGCUCAACGGGACUGUGGUCAUGAGAGAUGGGCAAAAUGGCUACCGUGUUGGUGUGGACGGGCUGCUGGUGAUAGGCACCCAGGCCAACCACAGCGGCAACUAUAACUGCUAUGCUGAGGAAAACGGCCUCCGCACCCUGCUGGCCUCCUACAGUCUCACAGUGCGGCAGGACACUCCUACCCCAGUUCCACAGAUAGCGCCACAGUCCAGUGGGAGAUCGCUCUAUGUACUGGCCAUCGCUGUGCUUGGUGGCCUCUGCCUUAUCCUGGCCACCUCCCUCCUCUAUGUGGCCUAUCUUCAGGAAAACAAAGGAGGUAAUCGACGAAAAUACUCCCUGGGUCAAGCUCGCCGGGCCGGGGGCUCUGCUGUGCCGCUGCAGACGGUCUCCGGCCAGUGUCCAGGAGAGGAAGAUGAGGGUGAUGACGGGGAGGGGACUGGGGGUGUGGAAGGCAACUGCCUCCAGAUCAUUCCUGGGGAGGGAGCCCCAGCACCACCACCCCCGCCACCACCGCCACCACCCACUGAGCUGACUAACGGGCUGGUAGCGCUGCCCAGCCGGCUGCGCAGAAUGAAUGGCAACAGCUACAUGCUCCUGAGGCAAAGCAACAAUGGAGUGCCGGCGGGGCCCUGCUCCUUUGCUGAGGAACUCAGCCGCAUCCUGGAAAAGAGGAAGCACACACAGCUCGUAGAGAACCUGGACGAGAGCUCUGUCUGAACCCAGCCCCCCAGGACAAAAAACAAAACUAAAACAAAAAACCCAACCAACCAACCAACCAACCAACCAACCCUCUUCCAAGCCAGCCUACCUGCCCCAGGCCGGGCUGCCUACCCAAGUCAUCCCCCACCUUCUCCUGCCCCACUCCAAGCCCCUCCCCCAAUUUUUUGAUGUCCCUGUAGGGCUAGUCGGACGGAUCCAGACACAGACUCUACCCAUCUUUACUUCUCAGUCUUCACAGACUGCUCGGUAUUGAACAGCCCAGGCCAAACGGUGCUCCUAGAGGGCUCUGCAGGUCCAGACGGCCUCAAUGUCACCACUAUCUGUAUGGCCCUAUGUACUGGAUGGUCCCCAAACCAGAAAGACCUCUGCCAGCCACCUGAGCCCUACGUACAUCUCCCUUUACAUGUCUAUCAGCUGGGCUGCAGGCCCCCCGCCCCCCAUUCUCAUGUUUCAUUCCUUCUCCUGGACUUUGGGUACCCUAUUGGCACAUCCUGUUCUAUCUUAGACCCAGCCCA